UGUUAAAACUUCCAUCCCUUUAUACUUUUAAAAACUAGCGUGGCUGACAAAAUAAUCAGAUAAUGAUACAUGUGACGUGCUACAUGCUGACGUACUUGGACUAGCUUUUAAUAGUGAAAAUGGAUAAAAUUUUUAGUA
rfam:Gossypium arboreum cultivar AKA8401 contig_6299_3, whole genome shotgun sequence.